rnacentral:rRNA from 1 species
CCUACGGGAGGCAGCAGUGGGGAAUCUUGCACAAUGGGGGAAACCCUGAUGCAGCGACGCCGCGUGAGUGAAGAAGGAUUUCGUUAUGUAAAGCUCUAUCAGCAGGGAAGAAAAUGACGGUAACUGAGUAAGAACCCCCGGCUAACUACGUGCCAGCAGCCGCGGUAAUACGUAGGGGGCAAGCGCUCUCCGGAUUUAAUGGGUGUAAAGGGAGCGUAGACGGGAGUGCAAGUCUGGAGUGAAAGGCGGGGGCUCAACCCCCGGAGUGCUCGGGAAACUGUACGGCUUGAGUGCAGGAGAGGGAAGUGGAAUUCCAAGGGUAGCGGUGAAAUGCGUAGAUAUUAGGAGGAACACCAGUGGCGAAGGCGACUUACUGGACUGUAACUGACGUUGAGGCUCGAAAGCGUGGGGGGCAAACAGGAUUAGAUACCCCAGUAGUC